UAUAAGCGUACCUGCGGUAUACU
rnacentral:siRNA from 1 species